GCCUUCGUGGUGUAGUGGUCAGCACGCUCGGCGCGUAUUCGAGAGGUACGUGGUUCGAGUCCCGGCGAGGGCA
rnacentral:tRNA from 1 species